rnacentral:rRNA from 1 species
CGGGGUGAGUAAUGUCUGGGAGACUGCCUGAUGGAGGGGGAUAACUACUGGAAACGGUAGCUAAUACCGCAUAACGUCGCAAGACCAAAGAGGGGGACCUUAGGGCCUCUUGCCAUCAGAUGUGCCCAGAUGGGAUUAGCUUGUUGGUGGGGUAACGGCUCACCAAGGCGACGAUCCCUAGCUGGUCUGAGAGGAUGACCAGCCACACUGGAACUGAGACACGGUCCAG